CUCAGGAUGAACGCUGGCGGCGUGCCUAACACAUUCUAGUCGAACGGAGUUUUGUGAGGGAAGUCUACGGAUGGACGUUAUAAAACUUAGUGGCGGACGGGUGAGUAACGCGUGGGCAACCUGCCGUAUACAGGGGGAUAACAACUGGAAACAGUUGCUAACACCGCAUAAGCGCACGGUACCGCAUGGUACCGAGUGAAAAUCUCCGGAGGUAUACGAUGGGCCCGCGUCUGAUUAGCCAGUUGGUGGGGUAACGGCCUACCAAAGCGACGAUCAGUAGCCGGCCUGAGAGGGUGGACGGCCACAUUGGGACUGAGACACGGCCCAAACUCCUACGGGAGGCAGCAGUGGGGGAUAUUGCACAAUGGGGGAAACCCUGAUGCAGCGACGCCGCGUGAGUGAAGAAGCAAUUCGUUGCGUAAAGCUCUAUCAGCAGGGAAGAAGAAAUGACGGUACCUGAAUAAGAAGCCCCGGCUAACUACGUGCCAGCAGCCGCGGUAAUACGUAGGGGGCAAGCGUUAUCCGGAUUUACUGGGUGUAAAGGGAGCGUAGACGGCAGUGCAAGUCCGAUGUGAAAACCCGGGGCUCAACCCUGGGAGUGCAUUGGAAACUGUACGGCUGGAGUGCAGGAGAGGUAAGCGGAAUUCCUGGUGUAGCGGUGAAAUGCGUAGAUAUCAGGAGGAACACCAGUGGCGAAGGCGGCUUACUGGACUGUAACUGACGUUGAGGCUCGAAAGCGUGGGGAGCAAACAGGAUUAGAUACCCUGGUAGUCCACGCUGUAAACGA
rnacentral:rRNA from 1 species